GACUCGAGUUUGAGCUGUGGGGCUGGCUCUAGCCCCGAGCUGAACAUGAGCUGGGAGAGUGUAGAAUUGGAGCACAGACCUUCAACUUGCCUGUUGACCCACCAGGGAAGUCUGGAGGGUGCAGCAGGAUACAGAGAGUUUGGGUCUUGGAGGGGAGAGGUGAGUGCUGUCCUACAGAGAUAGAAAAGCAGGACAACUGGAGAAAAGAGAUACCCGAUGUGUGACAACUUAGCCCCUUCCUCAAAAAGCCGAAGAAUCACCCCAGUGUGAAGAGUGUGAAGAGGUGGAGUUCUGGGGGGGCUGCUUGCUUGUGAGGUUACAAGUGGAAGUUAAAUGCUUGCUCUCCUUGCCUCCCAGUGACCAUAGCAGAGAGGGUGUGUGGGCACCCCUGCCCCCUCUGCUCAAACACCAGCCAAAUCUGCUCCCCAAGUGGACCUUCCUCCUCAGGGAGCAGCUGGGUGUGGAGAAAAGGAGGACAGCCAGAACAAGUGACCAUGAUUUCCCUCCACUGCAUUUUUCUGGAGGCAGGAAGUCCAGGCUGCAAUGAAGAUGUAAACAUCUGUGUGGCAUAUACUGUGCUACUUUAACCUACAGCACUAGGUGUCAGGAGACAGAGGAAGAUGCCCUCAGGUGGCUGACAGCGCAGGUGGGGAGAAAACCUCCAAAGCUAUCAGAAGGAGACAUCUGACAUGACAGAGAAUCCAAGGCAUGCAAGGGGUUGCUCAUCCACCUGUGAUCGAGAUGCGGACCUGGCUGCAAGAAGCUGACGCGGCUCAUCCUGAUGGGAAAAGGAAUUUAAUCGCCUUACUGUGAGCUGAGUGGCCCUAUGGAGGGACCCCCUGGCAUGGGACACAAAGCUCUGGCCAUCAGCCAGUGGAGAUCUGAAGCCCUCCACUCAACAUCUGCAAAGAAUGGAAUCCUAUCCUCAGCUAUGAAAGUGAUCUUAGAGGCAGACCUACCCUCUUCCUCAAGUCUUGGAGUAAGGGCACACCCACCAACACCUGAAAUCCAGCUUUAAGACCCAGAGCCAAACCACCCAGAAUGUGGACAUGCUAAUAUAUGGCCUGACAGUUAAGUUCGCAAACUCAUCCUAGAAAAAGUGACACAUCCUUCACUGGAAAGUAGGAAUAAUAGCGCCUGUCUUCUCCCAGGUAAAGGACACAAGAUAGUGAUCAACGAAGUGUUUGGAAUUCUUUACAAGAAAGGCAUGAUCAAAUUAUGCAGUGCUCUGCCUGCCUUCAAGCUGGAGCUUGUAGACCAGCCUCUCCAUACGUGGCCAUCCACACGAUGCAGGAGAUGGAAGUAUUUGUUAGUCCUACUCCAGCAUUUGAAAUAGAUGUCUAUUUAAAGAACUUCAAAAAAAAACACAAAAAACAGAAAAUUCUUUUUAAAAUUGGUUCUGAGAUUGAAAUAAAACAAACUAGGUGCUAUGUGUGUCCGUGUGUUGCAUGUGUGUUCAUGUGCACAUGUCGGUGAAGGCACACACAUGCAUGCCCAGACAGGAGUAUGCGUGCACUCACAGACAAGGGCACAUGUACACGUGUGCAUGUGUGUGACUGAGUGUGAGAAUAGUUACAUCUCUGCAUGACUGGAUGUGCGUUCCUGCAUGUGUGUGGGGGGGUGUGUGUGCACACGUGCAUUUUUCUCUAGUGGAGAUCACUUCUGGUCUAGUUUUAUGACUGGCACCAAUUCACCUGCUGCAGACCAAGAAAUCUCACAUGAGAAAUGACUACAGUUGAUCUCUGUCACUUUCUAAGUGAGCCUUUGUGUUCUUCAUUAUUAAAUUCAGCUUAUUAUGUCAUAUGCAAGUGCUUUUUAUUACCGAUGAUGACAACUUAGUUCUGCAAAAUACCUGGAGUGCAGACCCUCAGCAGAAGGCUGCCCACACCCCACACUCUCUCCUACAGUUUAUGGAGGUGAGCACCCUGUGUACUGGAUGCCGGAAGCCUCAGCAGGUGGCUGGCUGUUCACAAGUGCUGCCAGCCUGCUGGCCAGGUGGGGGCUCCGGGUCCUGCUCACUCUGCUUCAUUCUGGU